UACAGAGGUCUCAAGCGUUGUUCGGAUUCAUUGGGCGUAAAGGGUGCGUAGGCGGCGCGGUAAGUCGGGUGUGAAAUCUCGGAGCUUAACUCCGAAACUGCAUUCGAUACUGCCGUGCUUGAGGACUGGAGAGGAGACUGGAAUUUACGGUGUAGCGGUGAAAUGCGUAGAUAUCGUAAGGAAGACCAGUGGCGAAGGCGGGUCUCUGGACAGUUCCUGACGCUGAGGCACGAAGGCUAGGGGAGCAAACAGG
rnacentral:rRNA from 1 species